rnacentral:lncRNA from 10 species
CCCAUGUUCAAGCUAUUCUCCUGUCUGAGACUCUCGAGUAACUGGGAUUACAGGGGCAGCCUGGGAACCUACAGUGGGACAGAUUAAGCUGAAGGAAGACUUUGUGGUAAGGGGCAAUGUUGUGGGGUUGUUAGAAAGAACAUUUGUCAUAUAGAAUGACUGGUGAUGGCGUGGAUGUGGUUUUGUAUGAAUUGAAAAACUAAACGGAAGACACAAAUUCUG